CAAUAGCGUAUAUUUAAGUUGUUGCAGUUAAAAAGCUCGUAGUUGGAUUUCUGGUCGGAAGCUCUUGUCCUCUGAUGAGCGUACAAGUGCGUCCUACCAUCCUUCUGUUAACCUUUAAGGCUUUCGCGGCUUUCUAGGGGCUCAGAUAUUUUACCUUGAGAAAAUUAGAGUGUUUCAGGCAGGCUAGCGCCGGAAUACAUUAGCAUGGAAUAAUGGAAUAGGACUUUUGCCUCUUCUGUUGGUCAUGAGGCUCGAGUAAUGAUUAAUAGGGAUAGUUGGGGGCAUUAGUACUUAACUGUCAGAGGUGAAAUUCUCGGAUUUGUUAAAGACUAACUUAUGCGAAAGCAUUUGCCAAGGAUGUUUNCAUUG
rnacentral:rRNA from 1 species